GCCGUUCCCUCCCACCCGCCACCUCCGAGGCCAGAGCCCUCAAGCUAGGGGCCCACCCCUGCACUGCAGCUCCCGCCUCCCGUCAACCGCCUUCCGGCGCGUCUGGAACGUUCUGCGCCGGAACAAAGGCCCUAGGGCGGAAGCGAGGGUUCCAAGCUGAAAGCCCGGGCUUGGCGGGGCAUCUACUCCUAGUGAAUCCUAAUGACAACUGGAAGGGUGCAAACCUGAGGAUCCACAAAUUCUUACAUAAAGACAAACUGUGUUUACUGCUAUCAGAGAAAGGCCAGGAACUAUAAGAGGGGAUCCUAACCUAAAUUCUGGAGCAGGAAAGGCCAUUCUGAGGAAGUCACAUUUAACUGAGGCCAAGAUGAUGAGCAGGACUUCCACACAGAAGAGUGAGAUCCCCUGAAGAAGGAAGGGGCUUCAUGGUGGGAAGACUUGAAAAGAGGGCUCUCUGGUCCAAGGGUGGCUGGGUGCAGUAACGAAGCUCAGGAAGGUAACGUAGGAGUUGGAGAGUAGAUGGAGUCACACUUCUCACAGGGAGGCCAGUGGGGAAAAGAGGCAUUGAGGGAGAAAAAAAAAAAAA